CACGGCGCACGGGUGCGUAACACGUGGGCAAUCUGCCCUCGGAUGGGGGAUAACCCCGCGAAAGCGGGGCUAAUACCGCAUGACAUUCCGGAGACCUCGGUUUCUGGAUUCAAAGCAGCAAUGCGUCGGAGGAGGAGCCCGCGCCCGAUUAGCUAGUUGGUGAGGUAACGGCUCACCAAGGCUAUGAUCGGUAGCUGGUCUGAGAGGAUGGCCAGCCACACUGGAACUGAGACACGGUCCAGACUCCUACGGGAGGCAGCAGUGGGGAAUCUUGCGCAAUGGGCGAAAGCCUGACGCAGCGACGCCGCGUGGGGGAUGAAGCUUCUCGGAGUGUAAACCCCUUUCGACCGGGACGAAUGCCCGCAAGGGAGUGACGGUACCGGUAGAAGAAGCCCCGGCUAACUACGUGCCAGCAGCCGCGGUAAGACGUAGGGGGCCAGCGUUGUUCGGAAUUACUGGGUGUAAAGGGUUCGUAGGCGGUGUGGCAAGUCGGGAGUGAAAUUUCUGGGCUUAACUCAGAACCUGCUUCCGAAACUGCUGUGCUGGAGUGUGGGAGAGGCGCGUGGAAUUGCAGGUGUAGCGGUGAAAUGCGUAGAUAUCUGCAGGAACACCCGUGGCGAAAGCGGCGCGCUGGACCACUACUGACGCUGAGGAACGAAAGCUAGGGGAGCAAACAGGAUUAGAUACCCUGGUAGUCCUAGCCCUAAACGAUCAGGACUUGGGGUGCCACCCGUUCGGGUGUCGUCCCGGAGCUAACGCGUUAAGUCCUGCACCUGGGGAGUACGGUCGCAAGACUGAAACUCAAAGGAAUUGACGGGGGCCCGCACAAGCGGUGGAACAUGUGGUUCAAUUCGA
rnacentral:rRNA from 1 species